GAUUAAAGUUCAGUAUCUAUGAAAUGGUUUGGGAGGGAAACUUACGAAACUUGCGAGAUUGAGAAGAACAUCUUUGGGAGGGAACACCAGUGACGUGCGGUUCCAAUCGGAAGCAAUCAUCUUAGGGAAAUCAAAUUUGCGAAAUCAGAUUUGCGAGAUUGAGGUGAAAAGGGGGUGGAUUCUCAAAUUAGGGUUUUUAUUUUGUUCUAUGAAAGCCACAGUGACGUUGGAUUCCCUAUCUUCUUCUUCUUGUUGCAAUAAAUGGCUUCUUCUUUGUUUCUCUCAACAAGUUAAAGUUUUUACUAACCCAAGUCCGUGAACAAUGUCCAAGUUUCUUCUUUUUCCUUGUUGGUUCUCUUCAAUUGUAAAGUUAGAGUUGUUGAUGCUGUGAUUGAAAUCGUUGACAGGGUUUUGAUAAAAAGGGUGUGUGAAUGUGAUUUUGGUCACUUUGUAUGAAAGUUUUUGGAGUCUCUAGGGCUAUAAUUGUGGUGAUGGCCUGAGGGUUUAGGUGUGGCGGCACUAGGGUUAGGUUGGUUGGGCUGAAGGUUGAAGAAGAUGGUGAUGUGACUCUUUGUUUUGUAAUGAAUGAAAGUUGUUCAAUCUAGUCCCCAUUUUUGUUAAUUAUUUCCAAAUGUGGUCCUGUGAUG
rnacentral:lncRNA from 1 species